GAUGAACGCUGGCGGCGUGCUUAACACAUGCAAGUCGAACGAACCUUCGGGUUAGUGGCGGACGGGUGAGUAACGCGUGAGAAUCUGCCCUCAGGAGGGGGACAACAGUUGGAAACGACUGCUAAUACCCCAUAUGCCGCGAGGUGAAAUGAAUUUCGCCUGAGGAUGAGCUCGCGUCUGAUUAGCUAGUUGGUGUAGGUAAUGGCUCACCAAGGCAUCGAUCAGUAGCUGGUCUGAGAGGAUGAUCAGCCACACUGGGACUGAGACACGGCCCAGACUCCUACGUUAUUCUGCAGUGGGGAAUUUUCCGCAAUGGGCGAAAGCCUGACGGAGCAACGCCGCGUGAGGGAUGAAGGCCUCUGGGCUGUAAACCUCUUUUAUCAAGGAAGAAGAUCUGACGGUACUUGAUGAAUAAGCCACGGCUAAUUCCGUG
rnacentral:rRNA from 1 species